GCCAGCAUGGUGUAGUGGUCUGAGUGUAGGAUUAUGAUUCUGGAGACCAGGGUUCGAAUCCCUGCUCAGCCA